ACUCCUACGGGAGGCAGCAGUGGGGAAUUUUGGACAAUGGGCGCAAGCCUGAUCCAGCAAUGCCGCGUGAGUGAAGAAGGCCUUCGGGUUGUAAAGCUCUUUUGUCAGGGAAGAAACGGUGAGGGCUAAUAUCCCUUGCUAAUGACGGUACCUGAAGAAUAAGCACCGGCUAACUACGUGCCAGCAGCCGCGGUAAUACGUAGGGUGCAAGCGUUAAUCGGAAUUACUGGGCGUAAAGCGUGCGCAGGCGGUUUUGUAAGUCUGUCGUGAAAGCCCCGGGCUCAACCUGGGAAUUGCGAUGGAGACUGCAAGGCUUGAAUCUGGCAGAGGGGGGCAGAAUUCCACGUGUAGCAGUGAAAUGCGUAGAGAUGUGGAGGAACACCGAUGGCGAAGGCAGCCCCCUGGGUCAAGAUUGACGCUCAUGCACGAAAGCGUGGGGAGCAAACAGGAUUAGAUACCCUGGUAGUCCACGCCCUAAACGAUGUCUACUAGUUGUCGGGUUUUAAUUAACUUGGUAACGCAGCUAACGCGUGAAGUAGACCGCCUGGGGAGUACGGUCGCAAGAUUAAAACUCAAAGGAAUUGACGGGGACCCGCACAAGCGGUGGAUGAUGUGGAUUAAUUCGAUGCAACGCGAAAAACCUUACCUACCCUUGACAUGUACGGAAGCCACGAGAGAUCGAGGCGUGCUCGAAAGAGAGCCGUAACACAGGUGCUGCAUGGCUGUCGUCAGCUCGUGUCGUGAGAUGUUGGGUUAAGUCCCGCAACGAGCGCAACCCUUGUCAUUAGUUGCUACGAAAGAGCACUCUAAUGAGACUGCCGGUGACAAACCGGAGGAAGGUGGGGAUGACGUCAAGUCCUCAUGGCCCUUAUGGGUAGGGCUUCACACGUCAUACAAUGGUACAUACAGAGGGCCGCCAACCCGCGAGGGGGAGCUAAUCCCAGA
rnacentral:rRNA from 1 species